AAAAGACUCAAAAAUCAGAAAUGAAAGAGGAGACAUUAGUACUGAUGCCAAGGAAAUAAAAAGGAUCAUAAGAGACUUGCUUCAACAAUUAUAUACCCACAAUAGGAAAACCCAGAAGAAAUGGGUAAAUUUCUAGAAACAUGCAACCUACCAAGAAUCAUGAAGAAAUUAAAAAUCUAAACAGAACCAUCACUAGUAAGGAAAUUGAAUCAUUAAUCAAAAACCUCCCUACAAAGAAACGCUCGGCAUCAGACGGCUGCCCUGGUGAAUUCUGCCAAACAUUUAAAGAAGAAUUAACACCAAUCCUUCUCAAACUCUUCCAAAAAAUUAAAGAGGAGAGAACACUUCCAGAUUCAUUCUACAAGGUCAGUGUUACCCUGUUAUCAAAAUCAGACAAAGAUACUACAAGAAAACUACAGACCAAUGUCCCUAAUGAAUAUUAAUGCAAAAAUCUCUGCAGCCCCUCCAGACCCCUGCGGGAGAGGCCAGCAGUGAGACGCUGUGACUAUUGACCCCUCCCCUGGCCUUAUAGGACUGAAGGGCCCCUCCUGUGUGAACAGAGGCUGAUCAAGGCAGUCACCCUGCUACGAGGACCCUGGUGGAGCCGAUGGGGGACCAAGGGGCGCCCCGCUUCCCUCCUCAUCAGCAGGCUGACGGAGCCUGCACAGUGUGGAAUCCCAUCUCAGUGGAUCCUCUGGAACUAAUCAAAGGGAAGAUUGCCGAGCCCACCCCAGAGGCGGCGUUGGAGGGAGGGAAAUGGGAGCCUCCCCCACCGCAUGGCCAAUGGGGAUUCUCAGCUGUGAUUAAAUGCUCCGGGAGACAGACAGAAAUAACUGUGCUGCUCCGAUCCAGUCCCAGAGCGGGUGCAAUCAGAAGUGCCCCAAUCCACCGUGCUAGAUUUGACAUGAAAAGGGGUGGGUUGGGAGAGUGAUGGUUUUAAAGAUAAAACAGAUCGUGUCACUUCCCUACUCAAAGCCCCCCAGUCCUCCUCACACAAAAUUCAUGUUUGAGCCUGGUCUUCAAAGGUAUGCAGAGACCCUUUUAAACCCCAAAUUUACUUUCCUUCCCCCACCACUCCCUCCUCUCCAGCUGCAUGCCCGUGCUGUCCCCACCUCAGGGCCUUUGUGCCUGCCAUGCCCUUUCCUGGGAAGUCUCCUCUCUGAGUCCUUACAUGACUCUCCCCACCACGUCUUCCAGGUGUCUGCCCAAGUCCAUCCCUCAGAGGGGUCUUCCUGGCCCUCCGCGGAAGUCAGGCCUCGCCCUGCACGUCCACACCCCGUCACCUCACGCCCCACCAUCUACGUUUGCUCACUGCAGUGACUACUGCUCUGUCUGUUCACUGGAUCAUGAGCUCUUUGGGCCAGGGCAGCUCCUGGUUCUGGUGUCGUUUCCGCAGGACCGACCUUGGGAGCUCCGGCACCUUCACCUUUGUCUCCUCAGGACUCCUGGCCCCAAGCCUCCCCAGCCGUCUCAGGUUCCAGAGUGCCCUCCACCACCUGCCUCUGGGCAUCGGGCCUCUGGGCUUUCUCAUCUGUGCGGCAGGAGCCACAGGAGACAGAGGGUGGGGGCUCCUCACCCUAGCCUCUCCUGCCUCCCUGGACUCAGGCCAUAAUCAGCUCUGAACCAGCAGCACUCCCCCUCAUGUGCUGGCCCCUCACCUGUGUGACGUCCUCUCUUCACUGUCACUUGGAGAGGCGAGACCUCGCAGCUGGCUGGGGCUCUGUUCUUCUGUUGCAGAGGAGAUCACACAAGGAUCCUGACCUUUCAGACUAAGAUUCUGAGGUCAGUCGGGAGCAUGUGAUGGUGUCUGAUGUCUGCACUCCUUCCCCAGGCCCCCACCGCAGCCAGGCCCUGGGUCACCCGUCCGUCUGCUGGAAGAGCCCAGACAGAGUCUGCCCCUACCAGGAGGGCAGCCCAGGGCCUCCUUCCCACCCCGGACUCUGUGGGAUGCUGGCCUCUCACCCUCACCCUCUGGGCUCCCUGAUUUAUUUUCUUUAUUAAUAAAAGAGGGGAUUAGACUAGUGUCUUCUCCAUCUGUCGCAUUCCAUGAUGGAAAUUAUGGCAACUCUGGAAAAUGCAUUCAUUUAAAUCCCAGUAAAGUAGGAAGUGUGACUAGGAUGUAUGAGUUUAGUUUGGGGAGUGAACAUGGCCAACUGUGCCCCAUGGAGGGGACCCAGAGACGGUGGCUGGGACCCUACCUUGUCCUAGGGGCAGGAUGUUUCCUCCUGUUGCCCCCAUCCCAGUCUCAGGUGCUCUGAGCCACCAGGGUGGGAUGGGGCUGGUGUCGCUUACAGAACAGGUGGGUCCAGCAAACAGGAGUAAAGUCAGUGCAAAGUCACCUCAAGUGCUCAGCAAGCAUUGUGACAACCAGUGUCUCCCCACAGUCCAGCCUGGCCAGUGCUCACGGGUACUGGAGCGAUCACACAUCUGGUUGAGUCACAGAGGAUGUCACUGCUUUAGAUUUAGGGGUCAUGUGGGGAAAAAAGACAGAUUUUAAACAUUAGAAUCAGUGUGGGGAGCAGCUCCCUGAGGCUCACGCUCGGCGCAAGGAAAGGGUUUUUGGGGGUCUUCUCACCGAGGGCUUCCUCUGGGUGGUGGCACCACUACCCUCCCCACUCUGCCUACAGGGGAAGUAACAGAAGCAGGAGAAGUGAAGGAAUUGGCCCCAGGUCCCCCAGGAGGUGAGGGGUGGGGCCGGGAUGGACUCUCAGAAAUCUGCUGCAGCCCCCAACCCCUGUGCUGCACUGGCCCCCCUAAAUUAAAUGAUUACCAGUAUGAUUGACUGUGGGCCCGUUACUGCUUCUGUUGAAAGGAGGCCUGAGGCAGAGAAGGACAGGGAAGAGGCAGUGCCCGCUGACGUCCUGCCCGUCCCGCCAGCAGCCUCGUCCUGGAGAGAAGGAGACAGAACACCGGCUCCUUGGGGGAGGUUUGCACCUGUUCAGAAAUUAUGCAGCCGAGACCCGGAAACUCUCCUCUUGAACGUCUCCCUACUUGACGGAGAAAUGGACCAUGUUGCAAGCUCCCAUUAGCACCUGCAAUUACCGCUUGCCCACACCUUCACUUUUGAAAUUAUAGCACAUGUUCGUCUUAUUACUCUGUGUACAUUCUUGAUUCUCAAAUUAUUCUGCAGAAACUCCCCAGCCUAUAAUUUUCCUGCCCCACUAUUCUCUGUUAAUGAUCACCCACAAUUGCGGUACAAUGUCGGAUUAAAGUCAUAAAGAGCAGA